CCCGCCUUAACUGGCCGCCGGGGGGCUCACGCCCCCGGGCCCGCGCCCGCCGAAGACACCCUCGAACUCUGUCUGAAGAUUGAAGUCUGAGUGAAAAUAUAAAUUAUUUAAAACUUUCAACAACGGAUCUCUUGGUUCCGGCAUCGAUGAAGAACGCAGCGAAAUGCGAUACGUAAUGUGAAUUGCAAAUUCAGUGAAUCAUCGAGUCUUUGAACGCACAUUGCGCCCCCUGGUAUUCCGGGGGGCAUGCCUGUCCGAGCGUCAUUGCUGCCCUCAAGCCCGGCUUGUGUGUUGGGCCCCGUCCUCCGAUCUCCGGGGGACGGGCCCGAAAGGCAGCGGCGGCACCGCGUCCGGUCCUCGAGCGUAUGGGGCUUUGUCACCCGCUCUGUAGGCCCGGCCGGCGCUUGCCGAUCAACCCAAAUUUUUAUCCAGGUUGACCUCGGAUCAGGUAGGGAUACCCGCUGAACUUAAGCAUAUCAAUAA
rnacentral:rRNA from 1 species